AUCGUUAUGAAGAUUGUCAACCCAACGCCAAGCUUCUUCAUCCAUAGCCUUCAAUUCUUCCUUUAAUGCGUAAUAUUGCCGUUCUUCUGAAGCACUCCCAAUUCGAUAAAAAAUUUUAAGUAAGUGUUUUCCUUUGAAAUGAAUAUUCAUAUUGGCCUUCAUAUGUCGCAAACACCAUCGAUGAGCAUGACCUUCAGAUGGUGGGAAUACAAGUGCAACGAGGUUCGCUAGGCCUUUAAAACGAUCUGAAAUUAGUGUAAUAACUCGAGAUCUUGUUAUAUACCUUCUUAGGCAACUUAAAAACCACUCCCAACUCGAGCCAUUCUCCCCCUCACAA
rnacentral:lncRNA from 1 species